rnacentral:rRNA from 1 species
UACAGAGGUCUCAAGCGUUGUUCGGAUUCAUUGGGCGUAAAGGGUGCGUAGGUGGCAGGGUAAGUCGGAUGUGAAAUCCCGGGGCUCAACCUCGGAACUGCACUCGAAACUACCAUUCUUGAGUGUCGGAGAGGAAAGCGGAAUUCCUGGUGUAGAGGUGAAAUUCGUAGAUAUCAGGAGGAACACCAGUGGCGAAGGCGGCUUUCUGGACGAUAACUGACGCUGAGACGCGAAAGCGUGGGGAGCAAACAGG